rnacentral:piRNA from 1 species
UGUGAAUGCAUUAAAUCACUACACACGCA